GAGGAAUAUUGGUCAAUGGACGAGAGUCUGAACCAGCCAAGUAGCGUGAAGGAUGACUGCCCUAUGGGUUGUAAACUUCUUUUAUACGGGAAUAAAGUGAGGCACGUGUGCCUUUUUGUAUGUACCGUAUGAAUAAGGAUCGGCUAACUCCGUGCCAGCAGCCGCGGUAAUACGGAGGAUCCGAGCGUUAUCCGGAUUUAUUGGGUUUAAAGGGAGCGUAGGCGGACGCUUAAGUCAGUUGUGAAAGUUUGCGGCUCAACCGUAAAAUUGCAGUUGAUACUGGGUGCCUUGAGUACAGUAGAGGCAGGCGGAAUUCGUGGUGUAGCGGUGAAAUGCUUAGAUAUCACGAAGAACUCCGAUUGCGAAGGCAGCUUGCUGGACUGUAACUGACGCUGAUGCUCGAAAGUGUGGGUAUCAAACAGGAUUAGAUACCCUGGUAGUCCACACAGUAAACGAUGAAUACUCGCUGUUUGCGAUAUACAGUAAGCGGCCAAGCGAAAGCGUUAAGUAUUCCACCUGGGGAGUACGCCGGCAACGGUGAAACUCAAAGGAAUUGACGGGGGCCCGCACAAGCGGAGGAACAUGUGGUUUAAUUCGAUGAUACGCGAGGAACCUUACCCGGGCUUGAAUUGCAACUGAAUGAUGUGGAGACAUGUCAGCCGCAAGGCAGUUGUGAAGGUGCUGCAUGGUUGUCGUCAGCUCGUGCCGUGAGGUGUCGGCUUAAGUGCCAUAACGAGCGCAACCCUUAUCGAUAGUUACCAUCAGGUUAUGCUGGGGACUCUGUCGAGACUGCCGUCGUAAGAUGUGAGGAAGGUGGGGAUGACGUCAAAUCAGCACGGCCCUUACGUCCGGGGCUACACACGUGUUACAAUGGGGGGUACAGAAGGCAGCUACACGGCGACGUGAUGCUAAUCCCGAAAGCCUCUCUCAGUUCGGAUUGGAGUCUGCAACCCGACUCCAUGAAGCUGGAUUCGCUAGUAAUCGCGCAUCAGCCACGGCGCGGUGAAUACGUUCCCG
rnacentral:rRNA from 1 species